rnacentral:RNase_P_RNA from 1 species
GAAGCACGCCAGACCGCCGCUGGUGCCGUAUGGGAAACCUGGCACUGGAGGAACGUCCGGACUGCACAGGACAGCGCAGCAGCUAACGGCUGCCCACCGUGAGGUGAGGAUCAGAGCAACAGAGACGAGUCGGGAAAGGUUCCGCAGCUGUGGGUGUUCUAUGGGGUGCCAGCGCAAGCUGGCCCGGCUGGCGCAAGCCAGACGGUUACCGGCGCAAGCCGGGAAACCCCAUAGCCACCCGUGGCGCGGAACGCGCCCCGGGUGAAACGGGCAAUCUCUGCGCGCAGCAAUACCAAGUAGGCCAACGUUGACGUGGUUCCGCGGAGUUGGCGGGUAGGUAGCACCGAGCCGUGGUGGCGACACCCGGCCCAGAGUAAUGGCGGUCACGCCGCCGCUCUUCGCAAGAAGGCCGGCGGUGCACAGAAUCCGGCUUAUCGGCGCGCUUCACAC